UUCAUUGUUUGUGCAAAUUUGAGAUUCGCAUUGAUCACUUAGGCCCCGUUUGGAUACCCCUAAAAACGUAGCAUAGUUAAAUUAUGCUAUACUAGUAGGAAAAUUAUUCUAUGAAGCGCUUGUGAGAAAAAAAAAUGACGUAAUUUUUAAAGUAUAAUUAAACUAUACUCUAAAAAAUAGAACAUGUUACAUUCCACUCUAACAAAAAAAAAAUAAUUCCACCAUUGCUGGACAAAGAUACAUCAAGUUUUAACUUUUAAAUUUCAAUAUAAAAUUUUAAAUUUCAACAUAGAUUUCAAAUUUUAAAUUUUAAAUUUUAUAAUUUAAUUUAUAUUCAAAUUUUUAAUUUCAAAUUUAAAUUUUCAAUUUUCAAUUUUAAAUAUCAAAAAUUAAAUUUUAUAAUUUCAAAAUAUAAAUGUCAAAUUUUAAAUUUUAAAUUUUCUAAUUUUAUAAAUUCAAUUUUUAAUUCUCAAUUUUUAAUUUUCAAAUUUAAUUUUUACAUUUAAAAUUUAAAAUUUCAAUUUUAAAAUUUCAAAUUUAUUUUAAAUUUUAGUUUUCAAAUUUCAAAUUUUAAAUUUUAAAUUUUAAAUUUCAAAUAUCAAAUUUUAAACUUCAAAUUUUAAAUUUU
rnacentral:lncRNA from 1 species